rnacentral:lncRNA from 1 species
GGGAUGUUGGAGGAGGGGUUUCAUUUGAUGGAGAAGGAUAUUGUUGCAGCUAUGGCAACAUUCCGCCAUCGUCUGGAGCAGUUCAAGGUGAAUCUUGCCCGUCGCAACGACGAGCGAGAUGUGCGAGAUGUGCUGUUUCAGGACAUUGGUGCCCAGGUCAAGGAGGUCGAGGAUCUCAAGACGACCUGAGCGAACCGAGGGCGAUCGAGGUGAACCACCAAAGGCGAGCGAGGCCAAAGGUGGAGAAGAGCACCCCGAUCCAGUAGACGCAAAAGGGUGCAACGAGAGUUCAACUCUGACAGCCCUGCAGCUUUGCGAGGAGGUGAAGCGCGGGAAGGCUGAGGACCUCGAGGAAGAGGGCCUAAGCGGCGGCGAGACUAUCGAGUCUCAUAUGGCGCUGGAGUGGCCAGCGUCCAAGCAAAGUGCAAGUCAUUCUGCUAAGGAGCCUGCGAGGACCAAAAGGCGUUCUGCAGCUUGGCAGAGUACGCGUGCGUGUCGCGAAGGACAUGCACACUCGAGGUGUUCUACGGCUUUGCAGAGUGUUCGUGCGUGUCGCAGAGGACAUGCACAUCUGGGGAAUUCUUCGCACAGCAGGCUCGCUGGUGCACUUGCUCAAAGGGGUAAGACACUAGGUGCUGGUGCGGGGACAGAUGCGGACAUUGGGAGCAAGGCACGGGGCCGAUCGCGCGCGAAGGCACGACGGACCACGCGGAAGGCUAUGCGGACCGGGAGCGACUCGGCGCCCGACGAGGGCGUCUGCGCGCUAGGUGGGGGAAAAUGUCACGGACAAAAUAUUUUCCGCUGAUUUCUCCUUGACAAUGGCCCAAAUCUGCUAGCGAGUUCGGGUUGGUAACGGGUCGAAUAAUACCUAAACCCAGCCCGCUGUGGGAAACUCAAGGGUUAUGAAAACUCAUGAGAGUUAUGGAUGACUCUUGAGCUUUUGGUCAUUAUGAGGGCUCAUUACUAUGAAAUAGUGGGUGAGUUAAUAUGUGUCAUAAUGAGAGAGUUAGUGUGUGUCUAAGUUCAUUGUAUCUAGGAGCUUAUAAGUAGUGAGGUUGGUUAAGGCCAAACACACAAGAGGGAGUAUGUGUGUUGUAAUCUCUUUUCUAAGUAGUGGAGUACUUAGUUAUUUUGAGUUAAUCUCUGCCUCUCUCUCUCUUCGUCAUUCCCUUUGCAUACUUAGUCGUAGGACGCGAAGGUCCGGACUAGCAAUAGAGACGAAGGCUUGCCCAUCUUCAAGCAGGAAGGCGGGCGCCGCACGGGCUUUGCGAACAGAACCGCUAAGGCCGUAACAGUUGGUAUCAGAGCCAGUUCAAGGAGGAACCAUGUCUUCGUCGGAAGCUGCCGUCGUUGACAUUGUGCCUGAGCCCAGGGCGACCAAGCGCGGCAAGAGCAAGAAGCCGCGGACUCUGGCGAGAGAGUCCGUCUUGCUNCAUACCCAAACCCAACCUGCUGUGGGAAACUCAAGGGUUAUGAAACUCCCAUGAGUUAUGGGGUGACUCUUAGGCUUUUGGCUCAUUAUGAGGGUGAGUUAAUGUGUCUCAUAAUGAGAGAGUUAGUGUGUGUCUAGGUUCAUUGUAUCUAGGAGCUUAUAAGUAGUGGGGUUUGGUAAAGGCCAAAACACACAAGAGGGAGUGUGUGUAUGUGUGUUGUAAUCUCUUUUCUAAGUAGUGGAGUACUUAGUUUUUGAGUGAACCUCUACCUCUCUUUCUUUGUCAUUCCCUUUGCAUACUUAGUCGUAGGACGCGAAGGUCCGGACUAGCAAUAGGAACGAAGGCUUGCCCAUUUUCGAGCAGGAAGGCGGGCGCCGCAUGGGCUUUGCGAACAGAAACUCUAAGGCCGUGACAGUUGGUAUCAGAGCCGGUUCGAGAAGGAACCAUGUCUUUGUCGGAAGCUGUCGUCGUUGACGUUGUGCCUGAGCGGGAGCGAACCGAGGGCGAUCGAGGUGAACCACCAAAGGCGAGCGAGGCCAAAGGUGGAGGAGAGCACCCCGAUCCAGGGGACGCAAAAGGGUGCAACGAGAGUUCAACUCUGACAGCCCUGCAGCUUUGCGAGGAGGUGAAGCGCGGGAAGGAUGGGGACCUCGAGGAGGAGGGCCUGAGCAGCGGCGAGACUAUCGAGUCUCAUGCGGCGCUGGAGCGGCCAGCGUCCAAGCAAAGUGCAAGUCAUUCUGCCAAGGAGCCUGCGAGGACC